rnacentral:tRNA from 1 species
GGGGAUGUAGUUCAGUUGGUAGAAUGCUUACCUCAUAUGCAUGAGGACCUGGGUUUGAUCCCCAGCACCACUU